UACGAAGGGGGCUAGCGUUGCUCGGAAUUACUGGGCGUAAAGGGCGCGUAGGCGGAUAGUUUAGUCAGAGGUGAAAGCCCAGGGCUCAACCUUGGAACUGCCUUUGAUACUGGCUAUCUUGAGUUCGGGAGAGGUGAGUGGAAUGCCGAGUGUAGAGGUGAAAUUCGUAGAUAUUCGGCGGAACACCAGUGGCGAAGGCGGCAUCCUGGACCGGCAUUGACGCUGAGGAGCGAAAGCCAGGGGAGCAAACGGG
rnacentral:rRNA from 1 species